UGUGAUGUAACUUAAUGGUCAAGUGUUUGUGUGACAUGCGAGAGGCCCUGGGUUUGAUUCCCAGAACUGCAG
rnacentral:tRNA from 1 species